rnacentral:pre_miRNA from 1 species
ACCACUGAGCCACCUUCCCAGCCCUGAUAAUCUUUUUUAAAAAAUACUUAUUGUAAAAAUGUUGUACAGAGGGCUGGGAAGGUGGCUCAGUGGU